CUCUGCAAAGUUGUUGGAGAAGUGGUGCACCAGCUUAAAACCAAAGGUUAUUGCCCAGAGCCGUGGCCUCACACAGACUUGUGAGCUCCAAGACCUCAUCCAAAAUGCUGAAGCCAAUGAAGUUGAAGAAGACUUGUGCCAGUAUCCAAGGGCACCUGGAUGGAAUUGGAGAAAGUCUCCAGCCGUAUCUACUUGCUGUCGGACCAAAGAAAAGUGUCGCCACAUCACAUUCAAAAACCUCCUCCUUGGCCUUCCUUUUUUCCUCCUUCCUGGCGGCUCCAUCCUCAGCAUUCUACCCCAUGGCCCUUUCAUCUCAACCA